AAGAAAAUCUAGGCCCUGUGAAUAAAAUUAUUUCCCGAGAAUAAAGUAGAAGAGGGAAUGAAAAGUCGUAAUUUAAUCUAAUUAAACAAAAUGGAGAGCUACCGAAUAGAAUAUUGUAGCCUUUCUCAUAAUAACUCCUUAAAUGAGGAUAGCAGCACUCUCUGAAACUGCACACCCAAAUACCACUGAGGUUUAAGGCGAUAAAUCUCUCAUGCGAUAGCAAUUUCUACUUCCUGGCCGCUUUUUUACCGUUUGGCAGAAGUUUUUCUGCAAAAUUUUUGUCAGCUGCUUUGCAAAAAGCGUCUAUAAAGCAAAAUAAUUUUGUUAUAUUUUUAUUCAUAGGUAAUCUCUCU